GUGUUCAAAUCUUUCUGUUGUAAGAUCUUUGGGAUCUGGCGUUUUCAUGUUGUUUUUCAAAUUAUUGGGUAAUGUUCUGCCUUGGCGCCUGCCCAUCUCCUCCUUUCAAUGCUAUCUAAUUGGUCUUUUAAAAUCGGAUCGGGUUUCUCUGCUGGCCAGAGGCUUCUCUUACUAAUUGCCCUCGCUCUGUUUCCUGGCUCCUGCCUGGGGCCAAGAACCCUCUCACCCCUCAGAAGGGUUUUCUGGAACAGGACCCGGCUCCCCGUUUGCCAGGGCCCUCGCCAACCAAAGGCCUACCUCUUUGAUUUAAUUGUAGUGGGGCGAUCUGCUCUCCGUGUUGCUUGCUGGUCCCUGCUGCCUGCGUCCUCUGCCACCGCGCCAGUCCCCUCCGGUCCCGGCCUCAGCCUGCGGCCUGGCCUGCGUUGCCGGCCUGCGCUGCUCCGCUCUGCCGUCUGCGGGCGCCUGCGCCGUGCAGGUCCGCUGUCUCUUUCUUUCUCUUUGAUUUAAUUGUAGUGGGGCGAUCUGCUCUCGGUGUUGCGCGCUGGUCCCUGCCGCCUGCGUCCUCUGCCACCGCGCCAGUCCCCUCCGGUCCCGGCCUGGCCUGCGGCCUGUCCUGCGUUGCCCUCCUGCGCCGCCGCUGGCUCCGUCUGCGGGCGCCUGCGCCGCCGCUGGCUCCGUCUGCCUUUUCCCAGUCUUAAUACUAAGGCUGUUAUUCCUGGAACUGUUUAUUUUAAAAAAGUGUUGUCUCCCAGAGGAGAGAUGCUUCUGUAAUACAGCGUCCCCCAGACAGAGGAAUCGUAUCGCCUCGAGCUGUUUGUCUUGGGACUAAGAAUGGAAAAGCAUUCUAUGGUUUUGUUCCUCUAUUUGCUCCUCAUCUGUGAGGAGUUCAGAUACAGUCUCCAGCUUCCUCAUCUCAACAUAGCAGUCUCUAAGCCAAGAACAGUUAAGUGAUGGGUCUGCAGAUCAAAGGAAGCUGGAUGCAUGCAGCAACAUCAAGAAGAGUGCUGCUCUGCAGAAUUGCCAAAUCAAAGGAAAUGGGACUAAAAUGAAGACUCACAUAGUCUUCAGGUGGGGUUUCUGGAUGCAUUUCACUGCCACAGUACCUUAUAUCAUUCCCAUAAUGAGUGGGUUGAAAAGAGCAUCUGUCUAGAAUGCAGUUUUACUAUACAGUCUACUAUUUGUUAUAAAUGCUUAUCAAAAUUUUCACUCUGAUAAUUAUCUCGAAUACCACCAUAGACUCUUGGUCUGGCGAUGGAUGGAGAUAGAGACAGAGACCCUCAUGAGAGCAAUGGACUGAGCUCCCAAGGUCCAGUUGAAAGGCAGAAGGAGGGAGAAGAUGAGCAAGGAAGUCAGGACCGCGAGGGGUUGGUCCAUCACCUGAGGCAGUGUGCCUGUUCUAAUGGGAGCUCACUAAAUCCAGCUGGACCGGGUCUGAAUGAGCAUGUGAUCAAACCGGACUCUCUGAUUGUGGCUGACAAUGGGGACUGACUGAGAAGCCAUUGAUAAAGGCACUGGGACUUGUUUUUACGGCAUGUUCUGUAUUUUUGGGACCCUAAUCUAUAUGUAUGCACACCUUUCUAGUCCUGAAUGUAGGGGAGAGGGCUUGGACUUUUCACAGGGCAGGGUUCCCUGCCCUCUCUCAAGCAGGGCGGGAGAGGGAGGAGGAGGUGUGGGGGAGCAGGA